rnacentral:rRNA from 1 species
GCAAGUCGAGGGGCAGCAUGAACUUAGCUUGCUAAGUUUGAUGGCGACCGGCGCACGGGUGAGUAACACGUAUCCAACCUGCCGAUGACUCGGGGAUAGCCUUUCGAAAGAAAGAUUAAUACCCGAUGGCAUAGUUCUUCCGCAUGGUAGAACUAUUAAAGAAUUUCGGUCAUCGAUGGGGAUGCGUUCCAUUAGGUUGUUGGCGGGGUAACGGCCCACCAAGCCUUCGAUGGAUAGGGGUUCUGAGAGGAAGGUCCCCCACAUUGGAACUGAGACACGGUCCAAACUCCUACGGGAGGCAGCAGUGAGGAAUAUUGGUCAAUGGACGAGAGUCUGAACCAGCCAAGUAGCGUGAAGGAUGACUGCCCUAUGGGUUGUAAACUUCUUUUAUACGGGAAUAAAGUGAGGCACGUGUGCCUUUUUGUAUGUACCGUAUGAAUAAGGAUCGGCUAACUCCGUGCCAGCAGCCGCGGUAAUACGGAGGAUCCGAGCGUUAUCCGGAUUUAUUGGGUUUAAAGGGAGCGUAGGCGGACGCUUAAGUCAGUUGUGAAAGUUUGCGGCUCAACCGUAAAAUUGCAGUUGAUACUGGGUGUCUUGAGUACAGUAGAGGCAGGCGGAAUUCGUGGUGUAGCGGUGAAAUGCUUAGAUAUCACGAAGAACUCCGAUUGCGAAGGCAGCCUGCUGGACUGUAACUGACGCUGAUGCUCGAAAGUGUGGGUAUCAAACAGGAUUAGAUACCCUGGUAGUCCACACAGUAAACGAUGAAUACUCGCUGUUUGCGAUAUACA